rnacentral:piRNA from 1 species
GCUCAAAGUUAGGUAGUCAAAUUCCACAA